rnacentral:rRNA from 1 species
GAUGAACGCUGGCGGCGUGCUUAACACAUGCAAGUCGAACGGAAAGGCCCAAGCUUGCUUGGGUACUCGAGUGGCGAACGGGUGAGUAAGACGUGGGUGACCUUCCCUGCACUUCGGGAUAAGCCUGCGAAACUGGGUCUAAUACCGGAUAGGAGCACUUCUUGGAUGUUGUGGUGGAAAGUUUUCUCGGUGUGGGGUGAGCCCGCGGCCUAACAGCUUGUUGGUGGGGUAAUGGCCUACCAAGGCGUCGCAGGGUAGCCGGCCCGGGGGGGUGUACGGCCACCAUGGGACCGAGGAGCGGCCCAAACCCCUACCGGGGGCAGCAGUGGGGAAUAUUGCACAAAGGGGGGCAACCUGAUGCCAGGACGCCGCGGGGGGGGUGAAGGCCUUCGGGUUGUGAACUCCUUUGGCUAAGGACGAAGGCUUUUUGUGACGGUACCUAGAGAAGAAGCACCGGCUAACUACGUG